UACGUAGGGUGCGAGCGUUGUCCGGAAUUAUUGGGCGUAAAGAGCGUGUAGGCGGCCCGAUUAGUCCGCUGUGAAAGUCCAGGGCUCAACCCUGGAAUGCCGGUGGAUACUGUCGGGCUAGAGUCCGGAAGGGGCGGAGUGGAAUUCCUGGUGUAGCGGUGAAAUGCGCAGAUAUCAGGAGGAACACCAAUGGCGAAGGCAGCUCGCUGGGACGUGACUGACGCUGAGACGCGAAAGCGUGGGGAGCAAACAGG
rnacentral:rRNA from 1 species